UACGGAGGGUGCAAGCGUUAUCCGGAUUCACUGGGUUUAAAGGGUGCGUAGGUGGGCAGGUAAGUCAGUGGUGAAAUCUCCGGGCUUAACCCGGAAACUGCCGUUGAUACUAUCUGUCUUGAAUAUAGUGGAGGUGAGCGGAAUAUGUCAUGUAGCGGUGAAAUGCUUAGAUAUGACAUAGAACAUCGAUUGCGAAGGCAGCUCGCUACGCUAUUAUUGACACUGAGGCACGAAAGCGUGGAGAUCAAACAGG
rnacentral:rRNA from 1 species